UACGGAUACGGAUACGCGAUAC
rnacentral:miRNA from 2 species